GCAGAGGCCCGAGCGGGCUUGCCAGGGAACCGGUUCUCCGGGUUUGGCCGGCCACAACAACUGGAUUCUCUUUUCUGAUUUUUGCUGCAGCUUCUGCUUUGUAAUCAUACGGACAGUUGUGCUUGUCAGAGUAACAGUGAAGUCCACAAAACAAAUUUCCACAUCGGCAGUCAAACCCUAUACAGCAAGAAAGCAGCAUCUGCAAGAAAGCCCUCACCAGGACCAAAUCAGCUGACAACUCAACCUUGGACUUCCCAGCUUCCGGAACUGUGAGGUAUAGAUUUUUAUUGUUUAAGUUAUCAAGGCUAUGGUGUUUUUAAUAGCCCAAGCCCAGGAAUACAUCAUCUGACUCACUGUUUUGAAUCAAACUCUUCAGUUUCUCCAUCAACUUAGCUGGCAGCUCCUGUCCCCAGCAGCAUUAGAGGCCCCAAGAAAAGAACUCCAGCAGGGGCUCAGCCUGCACGGGUCCCAUGGGGCAGCCUCAGUGUCAAGUCCUGGAUGGCAGGUGAGGCUUUAGUGAUACAACCACAAUGUGAAAGUGUAAGAGUUUUUAACAACUUAUAGAUACUGGAAAGCACAGGGCACACCUGGAGACCACAGACACUGGGGUCGGAGAGCCCAGGCAGGGAGGAGAGAAGGGAACUGUAGGCCAAUGGCUUUAUUGGGUCCAAGGUGUUGUUGACAGGUUUCCAGAAGGGAGCUUUAAUGGGUGUGUUUAAAGCAGGCAAACACUGGGGCAAGAAGAUCACACUGUGACGGAGAGGUGGUCACUUUAAAUUGGAGGGCAAAUGUCACAACUGUUUCAGUUUAAAGGAAGCAGCUGGCGAGAGGGGAGCCCAGCACACUGUGCAGGAGAGAUGCCUCUAAGAUUUUAUCUGUGGCCACCAACUGGAGCCAUUUGGACCGGGUACAGUAAUGGAAACUCUGUGAUGGUGACAAACAUGGGAAUCAUUCUGAUGUGAUGCGGUGAAAUUUACACCUUAAAAAAUGGAUGCCAAGACAACAUAAACAAGACCUAGGGACACCAACAGGGUAUGGUGCUAUGCCCCAAAGUAAGGGUCCUGGGUUCUUAUCCAGGGAAGUGAGAAAUAAAGAUAACUUUUCCCUACUCCCUCUCUCCUCCCCUGACACUGAUCUUCCCACCCUGCACCUCCCUCUUCUCCCAAAUCCCAGUGCUCAGUCCCAGACAUCACUGCCCCCAAGGCAUGCACAGUGCAGCCCACUGCACACAAACACAAACUCACAGAAGGUGAUGACAGUUUGUGUUUGGGACAUCUGAUUGUGAAAGAGGGAGGACAGCGUACUUGCAGCCACAGAGACUGAAACUAGAAUGUGAUGGAACGGGGCUGGAACGUGAUGGAGCUCUGACAUAACAGACGUGUGACUUCGUGUGAAAUGAGCAGAUCCAUGUGGAAUAAAACACAGCCUGGCCUGUG
rnacentral:antisense_RNA from 1 species